AGACAUUUAAAAAAAUAUCUAUAUAUAUCAACUAUUAUGUUCCCAAGAAGAAAGUCAGUUGUAUAGAUUUGGAAAAUCACAAGAGCGUGUAAAAGAUUCACUCUUAAUCUCACUUCUUUGAUUCUGCUUCACAGUUGCUUUAAUUCCUCCAUCAGAAGCUGUUAAAAUCACAAACUGUGGAGGUUUGUGGUUUGUUGGAAGGCAUGAGGAGUCUUCAGUGAGUCAGUGUUUGUGGUUGUUUGGAGGGUUAAAAGUGCAGGAGGGUGGGCAGCUUCAGGCUCCAGCAGUCUCGUAGCCCAGGAGACGCAGAGGAUGGAGGAGUAGGCCGCUGGGAUGCAUGCUCGCUUCUGUAGAGGCUGUGGGUGUGGAGAUCCCACAGGAACAUUGUUCAUAGCGAUCAACUGUGGAACCUGCUGAGACCCUGAAAGUGAGACGCAACUUUUGGAUGAAGUGAAACUUUAAUGAACGUUAUACUUACAGCAAAAGAAUUACGUAAGUAGAUUUCUUCUUUACUUUAAUGAGUCAAAGAUGAAGAAAUCUAGAUGUGAGAACAUAACACGUCUACUAAUACAUCUAAUAUAACAUAGAGUCUCUGUAAAAAAAUGCAUUUAUAUCCAUGAGGGGAAAAAUAUUUUUGUUUUCUGUAGUGUUACACAUAAAAAAAGUGCAAUGCAACAAUGCUCACAAGUUCACAGUUUCACGUGGCGGUUCACGUGCAGGGUUUUGCACUUUCACAAUGCAGUUGAUGAAUUGUGCAGCUUUACCAACAUGCCACAGCACCAUUAAAGAGACUUUGUUUAAAAGUGUGCCAUUUUUUUUCAACCAUCUCUUAUUAAGGUUACGGUCCCUAAUCAGCGGCUUACAAUCAGAUGGGUUUCUCCUGUCAGUUGUAAGGCUAUUGUUCACACCAAUUGUUAUGACAUGCUCACACAGAGAUGCUAUUAUGGGCUUGCUUUAUCCAUUUUAUCCCUGUUUGUCGCUAACAACAGGAAUUAAGCAGCUUUAUCCGGCCAGGUCAGGCCAGGCCAAAGUGACUAAGCUGUAG
ensembl:lncRNA